AUGUGCUUCUCCCUCCCUUGCCCCAGAGACCCCUUCAACGAUCGCCACGGCAAGAAGCGCAAGACCGAAGAUGCCGCCGACACCAACGACGACCACAAGAAGAAAAGCAAGGGUUCCAAGAAGCAAGAGCGGGCCGGCGUGGGAGACUCCUCCACCGGCGCGGCGGUGCUGGGGGUGGUGGCGGCGAGGAGGGGGUGCCAUGAGUGGGUGGUGGACCAGUACAGCAACCAGCGCAACGUGGGGGCGUUCGACAAGGACGACACCGACGUCGGCACCGGCAUCGUCGGCGUGCCCGCUUGCGGGGACGUCAUGAAGAUGCAGAUCCGCGUCGACCAGGCCUCCGGCAGGAUCAUUGACGCCUGCUUGAAGACCUUCGGCUGCAGCUCCGCCAUUACAUCCUCUUCCGUCGAUGAUCUUUCGACCAUGAAGAUGGUAGUUUCUGCCACAUUUUGGAUAUUGAUUGGACACGCUUUAUAUAAAACGAUUUAUCUUGUACAUUGCUCUGCCUAA
rnacentral:rRNA from 1 species